rnacentral:lncRNA from 1 species
AUGUGCCAGUCCCCCCUGCUGGGGAAAAGGCCUGUGACAUCAUGGCCAUGGCCACAUCUGUUGAGAGCCUGCUCCAGCAGGGGCUGGGCCCUGGACAUGCAUUGCCUCCCUCCAUUCCUCCAAGGUAGAGUUAAUCCCAUUUCUUUUCUUUUUUUUUUCUUCUUUUUUUAUCGAUGGAGUUUUGCUCUUGUUACCCAGGCUGGAGCACAAUGGCACGAUCUCGGCUCACUGCAACCUCUGCCUCCUGGGUUCAAGCAAUUCUCCUGCCUCAGCCUCCUGAGUAGCUGGGAUUAUAGGCACCAGCUACAAUGCCCAGAUGGAUUUGGAAGCACUGCAAGUGCGUGGAAGGGCCGUGUUUAUGUUGGCAAAGAAGGUCGGCCACUGAGCCAGGGUAUGUCUCCCGGAGGCCUUCGGGCUGCCAGGAUCCCCACUCUCUGCCAUGGGCUGCCAAGGCUGGUCAGUUACUAGCCAGUGACAUUGUCAAGGUUCCCUGCUCUCUACCCUGGUAAGGGCCCAGCCUAUGUCACCAAGCCCCAGGCUCCCAGCACCACACUCAGCCCAUGUGAGAUUGCCACUCCAGCUUCUGCCUUUCCUUGGGAGGGGACCAACUCCCAGCUCCCAUUAGUGCCCAGGUUGCACCCAGUCCCUUGACCUUGUGCCCAGGUUCUCUGGCACCUAAUGUAGAAAUGAUGCAACUGCCCCCUGGGCUUGCUGGGGGCCAGAGGGGGUGAGUUCAUCACAGAGCAUUUAGAAAUCAUUGAGUCAUUGAUGGUCCCGCUGGCUGUUAACAGUCGAUACAGCUCAGGUCAGCUUGCACCAAGGUCCUUCAACACAUGGGGUACACUGGCUAGCCACCUCUCCUAGGCAGGGCAGUGCAGUGGUGAGAGCAGGGACCUCAGCCAGGCGGCCUGGGAUCUAACUUCUGCCCUGUCACUGCUGGCUGUGAGGUGGUGUCCCAUGCCUCCCAGGUAUUCACACAGCCUUGCCCUCAGGAGCAGAGUCCAAGCCUGUCUUGUUCCCCCAACCACCUGCAAGGAACCUGGGCAUGCUCCUGGCCACCAGGACAUGGCUGAUGGACAUUACCUGACUGAAGGACAUUGCCAGGAAAGAGUGAGGUCCGGGGCAGGAGGACCAGUCAGUGUCACAGCCUGCAGCACGACCUCACUGGUUCUUUCCCACCUGUGUCUAUGAGAAGCACAGCCUAGGGUCUGGGCUGGGCAGCCAGGGGACUCAAAGACCCCCUUGUGUCCAGGGCAAAGGGCUCUGGGACACAGUAGGCAUCCCAUCCUUUGUGCCUGGAGCAGACACCCUGUGAGUGUACCUGCCGGGCCAGCCCUUAGCAAGCCAGCACCUGGGCCUGCCAGAGCCCCAGGCCUCAUGCUGAAUGUCCACAGGCCCACUCAGUGGCCUGCCCUCAGAUGAGCCUCAGGUCUGGCUCAUGGAGGUGAGGCGGGCAGGAGCUGGACCUCAAAUCCCAGGCUGCCCCUCCUAACAGAGCCCUGUGUGUCACAUGGCAAAGCCAUCACUUCUGACAGUUCUUAUACAGACCAGACUCUGGCCUGGGCUUGUAAUGGUGGCACACCAUGGGUGGCACUGGCCCGUCCUUGGGGGAGCUCACCAGUGUGAGUGGAAGGGAUCCUGCUCCAACCCCAGUCCACAGCCCGCUGUGCUCCCAUUUGGUGUUUUUUUUUUUUUAGACGAAUCUCACUCUUUGCCAGGCUGGAGUGCAGCGGUGCAAUCUCAGCUCACUGCCACCUCUGACUCCCAGGUUCAAGCAAUUCUCCUUUCUCAGCCUCCCUAGUAGCUGGGACUACAGGUGCAUGCCACCACAUCCAGCUAAUUUUUUGUAUUUUUUUCCUUUUUUUUCUUUGUUUCCCAUUUUAACUGAUUCUGCAAUAAAUUUUUGUAUUUUUAGUAGAGAAGGGGUUUCACCACGUUGGCCAGGAUAAUCUGCCUGCCUCGGCCUCCCAAAGUGCUGGGAUUACAGGCAUGGGCCACUGCACCUGGCCGGUGCUCCCGUUUUGUAGGUGAGCAGCCGGUAGGCUAGAAUUCAAGCCUUGGCCUCUGUGGCCCUGGGAGCCAUGGGCUUGGAAGCUGGGCUUGGCUCUGGCUGAUGGUCACAGGAAGCGUUUUUCUUUGAGUUGGGAAUGCCAGUGGCCUCCCUGAUGGCAGGUGCUCAUGUCUUACAGACUGGCCAGUUCCUGCUGGAAGCCCCUGGUCUGAUCUAGGAAGAUCAUGUCCAAGCCCCCCGACCUCAUGCUUCGGCUGCUCCGGGGCACCCCAAGGCAGUGGGUCUGCACCCUGUUCAUUCAUCAUCGGCUUCAAGUUCAUGUUUUGCAUCUCCAUCAUGAUCUACUGGCACAUUGUGGGAGAGCCCAAGGAGCAAGGGCAGCUCUAUAACCUGCUGGCAGAUAUUCUUUGCCCCACCAUGGCACCCCUCACCCAUCCCUCUUACAGCCCCCCUCUGGGCAACAUCUUCUUCCUAGAGACUUCAGACCAGACCAACCCCAACUUCCUCUUCAUGUGCUCGGUGGAGUCGGCCGCCAGAACUCACCCCGAAUCCCAUGUGCUGGUCCUGAUGAAAGGGCUUCCAGGUGGCAAUGCCUCCCUGCCCCAGCACCUGGAAAUGUGUUU